CUACGGGUGGCUGCAGUCGAGAAUCUUCCGCAAUGGACGAAAGUCUGACGGAGCGACGCCGCGUGCGGGAUGAAGGCCUUCGGGUUGUAAACCGCUGUCAGUGGGGAGGAAAUGCAUCAGGGUUCUCCCUGGUGUUUGACCGAUCCGCAGAGGAAGCGCAGGCUAAGUUCGUGCCAGCAGCCGCGGUAACACGAACUGCGCGAACGUUAUUCGGAAUCACUGGGCUUAAAGAGUUCGUAGGCGGCCUUUCAAGUCGGGUGUGAAAUCCCUCGACUCAACCGAGGAAUUGCGCCUGAUACGGUGGGGCUUGAGGGGGAUAGGGGUGAGCGGAACUGAUGGUGGAGCGGUGAAAUGCGUUGAUAUCAUCAGGAACACCGGUGGCGAAGGCGGCUCACUGGAUCUCUUCUGACGCUGAGGAACGAAAGCUAGGGGAGCGAACGGGAUUAGAUACCCCGGUAGUC
rnacentral:rRNA from 1 species